rnacentral:rRNA from 1 species
CAGUAGCCACGGUAAUACGUAGGUGGCAAGCGUUGCUCGGAAUGACUGGGCGUAAAGGGCGCGUAGGCGGUUUAAACAGUCGGGUGUGAAAUUCCUGGGCUUAACCUGGGGACUGCAUUCGAGACGUUUAGGCUUGAGUGGGGAAGAGGGUUGUGGAAUUCCCAGUGUAGAGGUGAAAUUCGUAGAUAUUGGGAAGAACACCGGUGGCGAAGGCGGCAACCUGGUCCUUGACUGACGCUGAGGCGCGAAAGCGUGGGAAGCAAACAGGAUUAGAUACCCCCGUAGUCCCUGUCUCUUAUAC